rnacentral:rRNA from 1 species
AAACAGAUGCUAAUACCGAAUAAAACUUAGUAUCGCAUGAUACAAAGUUGAAAGGCGCUACGGCGUCACCUAGAGAUGGGUCCGCGGUGCAUUAGUUAGUUGGUGGGGUAAAGGCCUACCAAGACAAUGAUGCAUAGCCGAGUUGAGAGACUGAUCGGCCACAUUGGGACUGAGACACGGCCCAAACUCCUACGGGAGGCUGCAGUAGGGAAUCUUCCACAAUGGGCGAAAGCCUGAUGGAGCAACGCCGCGUGUGUGAUGAAGGCUUUAGGGUCGUAAAGCACUGUUGUAUGGGAAGAAAUGCUAGAAUAGGGAAUGAUUCUAGUUCGACGGUACCAUACCAGAAAGGGACGGCUAAAUACGUGCCAGCAGCCGCGGUAAUACGUAUGUCCCGAGCGUUAUCCGGAUUUAUUGGGCGUAAAGCGAGCGCAGACGGUUGAUUAAGUCUGAUGUGAAAGCCCGGAGCUCAACUCCGGAAUGGCAUUGGAAACUGGUUAACUUGAGUGUUGUAGAGGUAAGUGGAACUCCAUGUGUAGCGGUGGAAUGCGUAGAUAUAUGGAAGAACACCAGUGGCGAAGGCGGCUUACUGGACAACAACUGACGU